rnacentral:tRNA from 1 species
GGAGGGGUACCCGAGUGGCCAAAGGGGGCAGACUGUAAAUCUGCUGGCGGACGCCUUCGCUGGUUCGAAUCCAGCCCCCUCCACCA